rnacentral:rRNA from 1 species
ACACUAUUUUCCGCAUGGAAGAAAGUUGAAAGGCGCUUUUGCGCCACUGAUGGAUGGACCCGCGGUGCAUUAGCUAGUUGGUGAGGUAACGGCUCACCAAGGCCACGAUGCAUAGCCGACCUGAGAGGGUGAUCGGCCACACUGGGACUGAGACACGGCCCAGACUCCUACGGGAGGCAGCAGUAGGGAAUCUUCGGCAAUGGACGAAAGUCUGACCGAGCAACGCCGCGUGAGUGAAGAAGGUUUUCGGAUCGUAAAACUCUGUUGUUAGAGAAGAACAAGGAUGAGAGUAGAACGUUCAUCCCUUGACGGUAUCUAACCAGAAAGCCACGGCUAACUACGUGCCAGCAGCCGCGGUAAUACGUAGGUGGCAAGCGUUGUCCGGAUUUAUUGGGCGUAAAGCGAGCGCAGGCGGUUUCUUAAGUCUGAUGUGAAAGCCCCCGGCUCAACCGGGGAGGGUCAUUGGAAACUGGGAGACUUGAGUGCAGAAGAGGAGAGUGGAAUUCCAUGUGUAGCGGUGAAAUGCGUAGAUAUAUGGAGGAACACCAGUGGCGAAGGCGGCUCUCUGGUCUGUAACUGACGCUGAGGCUCGAAAGCGUGGGGAGCGAACAGGAUUAGAUACCCUGGUAGUCCACGCCGUAAAC